CAGGUUUAGACUUCAGAACUGGAUGAAAUAGUUGUAGUGAUGUAAUCAAAAAAAGGCAUACCGCUUAUUUCUUCCUGAUGUUCUCCUGUUCUCCUAAAGAUCCUGUGCACACUAGCAACAUACAGAGAUUCCCUGUUCAGCCAAUAAUCUAUUACUACCCCUCAGAUAUCCUUUUGCAAUGGAAUGACAUGUCAACCUUCAUUCAUUUGUGGCCAAGUCUAUUCUUCUUCUGGAACAUUCAUCUAUGGUAUUCUAUACCUCAGUGGAAUGCAGGCUAAACUGGAUUUUAUAUCUGAGGUUUACAGGUGUGAGAAAUACUGGAAAGUAAGCAGAAUAUGAAGAAGAAAUGGUCAACCUCCAGGAGCCAAAGGACUCUUUUCACAGUUCUUCAGUGUCUCCCCAAGCUACAGAUUGGAUAGAGAGGAUGGCAGAGGCAAUGGCAGGAUCAACUGCCCUCACUGGAAUUGUAGAGCACAAGAGAGCCCUUAUCAGCAAUGUUUCACUGUAGGAGAGCUCAGAGACAUUGGAAAGCAGGUGCCAGGGGCAAAGAGGUACACAUGGAUCAAAAAAGGGGCCAGAAGACUGCCAGCACAGGGCCCAAAACCCUACCUCUCACACAGAAAGGGUAUCCCAGAUAUUCUACAGGAACAGAACCUUAUAGAAACUUCAACUGUCCUCCACAACUCCUGUCCACACUCUAAGCUCUUCAAUCCCAGAAAAAGCUACAAUUUCAGUGCAGCAAUUUUCAUUUUAUCUUCAGUCUCCCGUAAACAUAUUUGCAGAAUAAUUUACUAUAAGCUGAGAAGCAUUCUGAAAUUCAAAGACACAGCUGGAUGUCCAUGACAGGAAGUUACAAAGGGAAAAUCAGCAAAAGAAAUAAGUGCUGGUUUUAUUAGAGUACAUGUGAAAAUUUAAGUGAUUCUUUUUUGCCGCAUCAGUGGGCAUCAAUUCUUGUCCAAAAUGAAAGCUCGGUUCUUAGAAGAUCAUGAGCCUCCCAGGACUGGCUGACCUCUCCAGCUGUGCCAGCAAAUAGAGCUGAAUGGAAACAGGAGUGAUCUCUGAAGUUGUGAGGGACUGGUCCAUGAAGAGUUCAAUCUUUGAACUGCAUUUUGCAGAUAUACACUUUUCCUUCCUUGUUACAAUCAUUCCAUUUUUGGAAGUGGUGCUAUUUUUUGAUCCAGCAAUUCGAGAAUAGCUCUGAAGAAUCAUUCUAUGUAGUCCAGGAAUUCACAUUUCAAGGAAAAAAAAAAAGCAAUCUACCUCCCACCACCCAAGCCAAAACUCAAAUCCAACAUCAAAACCCAACUCCAAAACAUAACAGCAAUCAUGCCAAACAUAUCACGUUGUCAACUUUUUAAUUGAUCCAAUGUACCAGUUAAGUUAUCUUAAGGAAGACUUCCUGUGCUAUAAACUUUAAAUGUGGAGUUUUGAGAAGUUAAAAAUUAUGAUAAAUACCUGCAAUGCAAAAAAUAGUCACUGUUUAUCAUGGUAAACUUUCCUCAUAUGCCACAGUUACAACAGUUUUAACAGUAUUUGCCUAAAAGUUUGGAAUAUUUAAGUUUCAUUUUCUGUAUGUAAAUUGGAUUGGUCAAA